rnacentral:rRNA from 1 species
AUUGAACGCUGGCGGCAGGCCUAACACAUGCAAGUCGAGCGGAUGAGAGGAGCUUGCUCCUUGAUUCAGCGGCGGACGGGUGAGUAAUGCCUAGGAAUCUGCCUGGUAGUGGGGGACAACAGUUGGAAACGACUGCUAAUACCGCAUACGUCCUACGGGAGAAAGCAGGGGACCUUCGGGCCUUGCGCUAUCAGAUGAGCCUAGGUCGGAUUAGCUAGUUGGUGAGGUAAAGGCUCACCAAGGCGACGAUCCGUAACUGGUCUGAGAGGAUGAUGAGUCACAUUGGAACUGAGACACGGUCCAGACUCCUACGGGAGGCAGCAGUGGGGAAUAUUGGACAAUGGGCGAAAGCCUGAUCCAGCCAUGCCGCGUGUGUGAAGAAGGUCUUCGGAUUGUAAAGCACUUUAAGUUGGGAGGAAGGGCAGUAAGUUAAUACCUUGCUGUUUUGACGUUACCGACAGAAUAAGCACCGGCUAACUUCGUGCCAGCCGCCGCCGUAA